GGGGGGGCGCUACCAUGCAGUCGAACGGUAACAGAAAGCAGCUUGCUGCUUUGCUGACGAGUGGCGGACGGGUGAGUAAUGUCUGGGAAACUGCCUGAUGGAGGGGGAUAACUACUGGAAACGGUAGCUAAUACCGCAUAACGUCGCAAGACCAAAGAGGGGGACCUUAGGGCCUCUUGCCAUCGGAUGUGCCCAGAUGGGAUUAGCUAGUAGGUGGGGUAACGGCUCACCUAGGCGACGAUCCCUAGCUGGUCUGAGAGGAUGACCAGCCACACUGGAACUGAGACACGGUCCAGACUCCUACGGGAGGCAGCAGUGGGGAAUAUUGCACAAUGGGCGCAAGCCUGAUGCAGCCAUGCCGCGUGUAUGAAGAAGGCCUUCGGGUUGUAAAGUACUUUCAGCGGGGAGGAAGGGAGUAAAGUUAAUACCUUUGCUCAUUGACGUUACCCGCAGAAGAAGCACCGGCUAACUCCGUGCCAGCAGCCGCGGUAAUACGGAGGGUGCAAGCGUUAAUCGGAAUUACUGGGCGUAAAGCGCACGCAGGCGGUUUGUUAAGUCAGAUGUGAAAUCCCCGGGCUCAACCUGGGAACUGCAUCUGAU
rnacentral:rRNA from 1 species